CUCUGAGCUGUCAGCACAAAACUCUACGCAGGACUAGAACCCACAAACGGACUGAGGAAAACAUGUCCUCCCUCUACCCAAGAGAAAUAUGCCUGUACAUGAUGAUUCUUCAAACACAGAUUUCAUUUGCUAUUUUUCCUCGCCAAUGAUCUGAAUUCCUGAGAAGUCCAAGAACAAAACUGCCUUCAACCACGGUAAUAGUUCCUUAGGGAUCAUUGACCUUCAGUGCUUCUGUCGCUUAUAACCAUUUGGCAUAUUUGAUAUAAUUGUCGUGAAAGCAAGGUGAAUUUGAAGUGCCAGUCAAGAACAUUAGCAUAGCACGUUGAUCUUUCCCCCAAUCAGAUCGCAGCAAUUUCUCUCUGAAUUCAGGAUGUUUGGCAUUUGCAGUCUGUGGUUUGAUUUCACCAUGUGAAUUAAAAUGAAAACGCUUCACGUCACGUAAGCAACAGA